GUGCUCACUUUAACAGCACAUUUACUAAAAUUGGAAUAAUACAGAAAAGAUUCACGUGACCUUUAUGCAAGGGUGACAUGCAACUUUGUGAAAUGUUUGACACCUUG
ensembl:snRNA U6 U6 spliceosomal RNA